ACAAGAGUACUUAGUAUUAUCUAGCACUUCAUAUGUUCAAAGCACAGCUCCUGUUGACUUCAGUUGCAGCUGUGGGUGCUCAGCCCUUAUGCAAAUCAGACACCAAGGUCUCAAGCUGGGCACCAGAAAAUGAGGAACACACAGUUAGUGGUCACCUGUGAAAAGUUUGGUCAAAAGAAAUGACAGACCUAGGAGGAAGCAGCAGUAGAAAACCUGAGCCAAUCACGAGGAAACUGAGGGCCACUGCAGACAACAAAGGUUAAAUUGUAUCCUCGGCAGAUUCUGCCAUUUCCCUGGGCUACAGUGAUCUUCAUUUCCUGCCGUGGGUGUUGCUGUGCACUGGCCAACAGUUGCUGUGGAAUCACUUCACAGGUAGUGGAGGGGGAACUGAUCACUGGGAAGCAUUUCAAGAUCCUUCUGGAGAACAGCUCUAUAAGGGGCAAUCAUGCCUAGAGCAGAGCGUCCUCAGCCCUACUGACUUCAACAGACUUCCAGGGCACUCCGCAAGCUGCAGAAUGCAGUCCUUAAAGAAGGAAGCAUGGAGGAAACAUGGUCUAGUGGUUAGA